UUACAAGUACUUUCUAUUGAAUAUAUUAUAUUUCUUGAGUCAGAGAUAACAGUGUUUUCCUUUGGUUGACCCUAAUUGCUUGUUCUCACUUCAGGCACUCCUGGUUUGUAAUGUUUGUACAUAAGAGCUUAGUCAGUGCAGGUCAUCUAAUUUCAAAUAGAAAUUAUUUAAACCCGUUUUUAAUGAUGACUUUAGCGGAUUGGAUUAUUGUAUAACAGGCUCUCCUGUCUUAAAACACAAAUUACUUGUUUUUUAAAAGCAGACUCUAGGCAUAUUUUCUGUUGUUUAUAUCUAAUUUAUGACCAAUUCAAUAAUUUUUCCCUCUACAUUUUUUUAACAUGUUAUGUUACCUCCCUGACCAAAAUCCUCCAAUAAUUUCUCAUUGCCUUGAAAUCAAGUCAUGCAUGAACAUUUUCCCUCAGAAUCCCAAUAAGAAGCUAAUCUUAAUUUAAACAGUAUAUUUUAUAGAAUGAUAUGAAUUGAAAUGCUUUGUCAUGUGGUUGUCAAUUUUGA
rnacentral:lncRNA from 1 species